UAUAAGCACUUGUACUGUGAAACUGCGAAUGGCUCAUUAAAUCAGUUAUCGUUUAUUUGAUAGUACCUUACUACAUGGAUACCUGUGGUAAUUCUAGAGCUAAUACAUGCUAAAAACCCCGACUUCAGGAAGGGGUGUAUUUAUUAGAUAAAAAACCAACGCCCUUCGGGGCUCCUUGGUGAAUCAUAAUAACUUAACGAAUCGCAUGGCCUUGCGCCGGCGAUGGUUCAUUCAAAUUUCUGCCCUAUCAACUUUCGAUGGUAGGAUAGUGGCCUACCAUGGUGGCAACGGGUAACGGGGAAUUAGGGUUCGAUUCCGGAGAGGGAGCCUGAGAAACGGCUACCACAUCCAAGGAAGGCAGCAGGCGCGCAAAUUACCCAAUCCCGAUACGGGGAGGUAGUGACAAUAAAUACUGAUACGGGGCUCUUUUGGGUCUCGUAAUUGGAAUGAGAACAAUUUAAAUCCCUUAACGAGGAACAAUUGGAGGGCAAGUCUGGGCCGAA
rnacentral:rRNA from 1 species